UAGGGAAUCUUCCGCAAUGGGCGAAAGCCUGACGGAGCAAUGCCGCGUGAGUGAAGAAGGCCUUCGGUCGGUAAAACUACUGUUAUAAGAGAAGAACAAA
rnacentral:rRNA from 1 species